AGCAUCUGGGAGCGCCGGCGGAGCCGGGGGUGCACCCGCCGUGGAGGGCCAGCGGAUUCCUGCUCCGCGGGAGGGCUCCGCCGAGCGCGCCUCCGCCUUCCAACCGCAGCGACAUCUCCGCCGCUCCGCUUGUUCGCCGGCAGUCCGCCGCUCCCCGCAGCGCUCCGCGAGCCGCCGGAGGAGGCUCAGCCCCGAAGUUGCGGCCAGCCCGGGUGAAAAGUAGCGGCGAGGCGGAACGGGCCGCGGCUGAGCCGAGAGGAGACGGUGCAGCACCUCGCCGCCCCCGGCGCAGGGACUGGCUCGGCGGCCGCCCGCACGGACAGCGCCGUGGAAAGAACCAACAUGCAAAGUGGAAGGAAAACCAAAACUGCUCUUUUAGCAGAAAAGCAUUGGCUUUCAGCUCCUUUCAUAUGUUUUCAUUUUGCUUCGUAAUGGAAGGAGCAGGAUUCUCUGAAUCACUGAGGCAAAAUUUGGGCAUCAUUGGCUGAAGAUGAGAUGAAAGAAGACCUGAAUAUAUGUCGAUACUCCCUGACUAUUAAUUCAGACAAACUUUUUACUAAUGGAGGGGAAUAGUGGUUAAAAGCACCACAAACUCAUUUAAAGGAGCUGAUGAAGGAUUUCUGCCUUUUUUUUUUUCCUUCCCUUCCCACUCUCCCACGAGUCCUGAGAGAAAGAUGAUAAAGAAUGUGUAUACAAACUGAGAUAAGGGAGAGGCUGAAGAAAGUAGCUUCCAUUUUUGAGUCUGUUUUUCAAGUGCUGUAAAUUCCCCAAAUAAUUAAAUUCACCACAUUGUUUUGAAUAAAUUGUAUAUAUUUUUUG
rnacentral:lncRNA from 7 species